rnacentral:rRNA from 1 species
AUUGAACGCUGGCGGCAGGCCUAACACAUGCAAGUCGAGCGGAUGAAGGGAGCUUGCUCCUGGAUUCAGCGGCGGACGGGUGAGUAAUGCCUAGGAAUCUGCCUGGUAGUGGGGGAUAACGUCCGGAAACGGGCGCUAAUACCGCAUACGUCCUGAGGGAGAAAGUGGGGGAUCUUCGGACCUCACGCUAUCAGAUGAGCCUAGGUCGGAUUAGCUAGUUGGUGGGGUAAAGGCCUACCAAGGCGACGAUCCGUAACUGGUCUGAGAGGAUGAUCAGUCACGCUGGAACUGGGACACGGUCCAGACUCCUACGGGAGGCAGCAGUGGGGAAUAUUGGACAAUGGGCGAAAGCCUGAUCCAGCCAUGCCGCGUGUGUGAAGAAGGUCUUCGGAUUGUAAAGCACUUUAAGUUGGGAGGAAGGGCAGUAAGUUAAUACCUUGCUGUUUUGACGUUACCAACAGAAUAAGCACCGGCUAACUUCGUG